rnacentral:rRNA from 1 species
UACGUAGGGGGCAAGCGUUGUCCGGAAUCAUUGGGCGUAAAGCGCGUGUAGGCGGCUCGGUAAGUCUGCUGUGAAAGUCCAGGGCUCAACCCCUGGGAUGCCGGUGGAUACUGUCGAGCUCGAGUCCGGAAGAGGCGAGUGGAAUUCCGUGGUGUAGCGGUGAAAUGCGACAGAUAUCAGGAAGAACACCCGUGGCUAAGGCGGCUCUCUAGUACGGUACUGACGCUGAGACGCGAAAGCGUGGGAGCGAACAGG